AUUGAACGCUGGCGGCAGGUCUAACACAUGCAAGUCGAGCGGAUGAAGGGAGCUUGCUCCUGGAUUCAGCGGCGGACGGGUGAGUAAUGCCUAGGAAUCUGCCUGGUAGUGGGGGAUAACGUCCGGAAACGGGCGCUAAUACCGCAUACGUCCUGAGGGAGAAAGUGGGGGAUCUUCGGACCUCACGCUAUCAGAUGAGCCAGGUCGGAUUAGCUAGUUGGUGGGGUAAAGGCCUACCAAGGCGACGAUCCGUAACUGGUCUGAGAGGAUGAUCAGUCACACUGGAACUGAGACACGGUCCAGACUCCUACGGGAGGCAGCAGUGGGGAAUAUUGGACAAUGGGCGAAAGCCUGAUCCAGCCAUGCCGCGUGUGUGAAGAAGGUCUUCGGAUUGUAAAGCACUUUAAGUUGGGAGGAAGGGCAGUAAGUUAAUACCUUGCUGUUUUGACGUUACCAACAGAAUAAGCACCGGCUAACUUCGUG
rnacentral:rRNA from 1 species